ensembl:snoRNA
GCAGGUUUGGAUUUAUAGUAGGCCUGUCCUCCUGGGUCUUUCACGGAGUCCCAUGCCAGAGCAAACUGAGUUUGAGCCAUUAUCUGGCCUCUGUGAUCAUAGGCUGCUGACACUGAAACAGGUUGCAUAGUG